rnacentral:sRNA from 1 species
AGCAGCCGCGGUAAUUCCAGCUCCAAUAGCGUAUAUUAAAGUUGUUGCAGUUAAAAAGCUCGUAGUUGAAUUUCGGGGUCAGUAGGUCGGUCGUGCCACAGGUAUGCACUGGUCUCACUGAUUCCUCCUUCCUGAUGAACCGUAAUGCCAUUAAUUUGGUGUUGCGGGGAGACUGGACUGUUACUUUGAAAAAAUUAGAGUGUUUAAAGCAGGCUAACGCUUGAAUACAUUAGCAUGGAAUAACGGAAUAGGACGUUCGAUCUUAUUUUGUUGGUUUCUAAGAUUGACGUAAUGAUUAAUAGGGAUAGUUGGGGGCAUUAGUAUUCAAUUGUCAGAGGUGAAAUUCUUGGAUUUAUUGAAGACUAACUACUGCGAAAGCAUUUGCCAAGGAUGUUUUCAUUAAUCAAGAACGAAAGUUAGGGGAUCGAAGACGAUCAGAUACCGUCGUAGUCUUAACCAUAAACUAAUGCCGACUAGGGAUCGGAUGAUGUUAAUUUUUUAAUGUACUCAUUCGGCGCCU